UACGUAGGGUGCAAGCGUUGUCCGGAAUUAUUGGGCGUAAAGAGCUCGUAGGCGGUCUGUCACGUCGGCUGUGAAAACCUGAGGCUCAACCUCAGGCCUGCAGUCGAUACGAGCAGACUAGAGUGUUGCAGGGGAGACUGGAAUUCCUGGUGUAGCGGUGAAAUGCGCAGAUAUCAGGAGGAACACCGGUGGCGAAGGCGGGUCUCUGGGUCGUACCUGACGCUGAGGAACGAAAGCCAGGGGAGCGAACGGG
rnacentral:rRNA from 1 species